GAGUAACACGUGAGCAAUCUGCCUUUCAGAGGGGGAUACCGAUUGGAAACGAUCGUUAAUACCGCAUAACAUAAUUGAACCGCAUGAUUUGAUUAUCAAAGAUUUAUCGCUGAAAGAUGAGCUCGCGUCUGAUUAGCUAGUUGGUAAGGUAACGGCUUACCAAGGCGACGAUCAGUAGCCGGACUGAGAGGUUGAUCGGCCACAUUGGGACUGAGACACGGCCCAGACUCCUACGGGAGGCAGCAGUGGGGAAUAUUGCACAAUGGAGGAAACUCUGAUGCAGCGAUGCCGCGUGAGGGAAGAAGGUUUUAGGAUUGUAAACCUCUGUCUUCAGGGACGAAAAAAGACGGUACCUGAGGAGGAAGCUCCGGCUAACUACGUGCCAGCAGCCGCGGUAAUACGUAGGGAGCGAGCGUUGUCCGGAAUUACUGGGUGUAAAGGGAGCGUAGGCGGGAUCGCAAGUCAGAUGUGAAAACUAUGGGCUUAACCCAUAAACUGCAUUUGAAACUGUGGUUCUUGAGUGAAGUAGAGGUAAGCGGAAUUCCUAGUGUAGCGGUGAAAUGCGUAGAUAUUAGGAGGAACAUCAGUGGCGAAGGCGGCUUACUGGGCUUUAACUGACGCUGAGGCUCGAAAGCGUGGGGAGCAAACAGGAUUAGAUACCCUGGUAGUCCACGCCGUAAACGAUGAUUACUAGGUGUGGGGGGACUGACCCCUUCCGUGCCGCAGCAAACGCAAUAAGUAAUCCACCUGGGGAGUACGACCGCAAGGUUGAAACUCAAAGGAAUUGACGGGGGCCCGCACAAGCAGUGGAGUAUGUGGAUUAAUUCGAAGCAACGCGAAGAACCUUACCAGGUCUUGACAUCGUAUGCAUAGCUCAGAGAUGAGUGAAAUCUCUUCGGAGACAUAUAGACAGGUGGUGCAUGGUUGUCGUCAGCUCGUGUCGUGAGAUGUUGGGUUAAGUCCCGCAACGAGCGCAACCCUUACUGUUAGUUGCUACGCAAGAGCACUCUAGCAGGACUGCCGUUGACAAAACGGAGGAAGGUGGGGAUGACGUCAAAUCAUCAUGCCCCUUAUGACCUGGGCCUCACACGUACUACAAUGGCUGUAAACAGAGGGAUGCAAAGCCGCGAGGUGGAGCGAACCCCUAAAAGCAGUCUUAGUUCGGAUUGUAGGCUGCAACCCGCCUACAUGAAGUCGGAAUUGCUAGUAAUCGCAGAUCAGCAUGCUGCGGUGAAUACGUUCCCGGGCCUUGUACACACCGCCCGUCACGCCAUGGGAGUCGGUAACACCCGAAGCCUGUAGUCUAACCGCAAGGAGGACGCAGUCGAAGGUGGGAUUGAUGACUGGGGUGAAGUCGUAACAAGGUAGCCGUAUCGGAAGGUGCGGCUGGAUCACCUCCUUUCUA
rnacentral:rRNA from 1 species